rnacentral:rRNA from 1 species
AUGCAUCCAGAGCUGAAAGCUUAUCUGGAUGAGUUCCGGGCAAAGGCUCAGGCUCGCUACGACGCCACGGACAGGCUGUUUGCGCAGUACGACGCGCUGCUCUCCAUGGUCACCACGGGAGCUUCCGUCCCGCAGUCGGCGCGCUCCGCGGUUGCGGCCUCCGAUGGCGGCCUCGCCGUCGACGCCACCGUCAUGCCGGUCGUCUCCGCCCCCUCUUCCACCAGCAAAGCCCAGGAGGUCCUCGAGCUCGUCCCCGAUGCGUCCCCUGCAUGCAUUGCGAGGGCGCCCGUCCUCUGUUCGACAGAUGGCUCGAACCAAGUCCUCGAGGGCGUCUCGACCCUGCAGCCGGCGUGUCCCAUGGCCAUGGCAGACGAUGACGGCCUCACCGACAACGCCAGAGCCCCGGCUGUCGUCGCCGGCGUCUUCUCCGCCACCACCCAGGCUCAGGAGACCCCCACGGUCGCCCAUGAUGCAGCCUCGGUCUGCAUCGCAAUGGCGCCCAUCACCUGUUCGAUGGACUACUCGACCCAGGUCGACGCCAUCACCAGUGUCGACGAGGUCCAGGACGCCGUCACCACAGUCUACCCCUAG